rnacentral:rRNA from 1 species
UACAGAGGGUGCGAGCGUUAAUCGGAAUUACUGGGCGUAAAGCGCCCGUAGAUGGCUUCGUAAGUCGGAUGUGAAAUCCCCGGGCUUAACCUGGGAACUGCAUUCGAAACUGCGUUGCUCGAAUGUGGAAGAGGGAAGCGGAAUUCCAGGUGUAGCGGUGAAAUGCGUAGAUAUCUGGAGGAACACCCGUGGUGCAGACGGCUUGCUGGACCAUGACUGACGCUGAGGCACGAAAGCGUGGGUAGCAAACAGG